UUGAAUCACGAUACAGCAUUAUUCAGGUAAAUUAUCCUGUAAUGCUCACAAACGAUUCAUAUAAAAAUUAUUCUUUGAUGAGCCUGAAUGGUUGAGCUUCAUUUCAGGAACAGAUACGGAAUAUACAAUU